UAACUUGAACCACUUCCACAAUCGGCAACACCUCCCCUCCCCUUGCGAAAAUCUUCCUCUCGUAAAUCGUACGACGCCACUAUAUACACAAACAAACCUAUGGUUCACAAACUGGGAAAACUUCUCCGGUCCCCUCCCUCUCUCUGGACCCAUAAUUCUCUCUUUUGACUUUCUUCGGUUCUGUGUUUAGACUACUUAUAAAAUGUCAACCGGUGGCACCGCCACCAAUUCCGCCAGCGGUAGUCCCCGAGUGGGCGGCGGACCCACCACCCACCACCGCCGCCGUGUCGCCGACACCAUGAACGACCCCGAAAAAUUAUCAGAUCAUUUACAAAUCGGGCUUGAUUAUUAUGGUGAUAAUAAUACAAAUAUCAACGCCGGUGGAAACGUUCAUCAUCACCAUUAUCACCAUCACCAUCAUAAUUCGAUAAUACGUUACUUAUUAGCGUGUAAAUGGGUGCCAGAAAGUAUUGUAUUUAGAGUAGAAGAAUGUUUAUUAAGUAUUGGUACAAUUAUGGCAUAUUUAGGAUCAAGAAAGAAUAUGGUUCGUACCAUAUUUGGGUUGUUAUUGGUUUUGGUGGUUUUAUCUGUAUUUCUCAAGUUUUCUAUUAUGAUGAAUGGUAAUGUUGAGGAUGUAAAUAAUGGGAAUCUCAUGAGGAGAGAUAAUGGACUUUUUGUUCUUCAGAAUUUAAAGAAUGAUUGGAUUAAUGCUCAAAGAGUUGUUUCUGAAACAGAGACCACUGCCUUUUCUGCUUCUGAGGUUGUGCAAAAACGUCAGAUGAAGGAGUUACCCGUACCAGAAAUAUGGAUGAAGCCAUCUAGUGAUAAUUACUACAAAUGCAUUGCUCGGCCUAGGAAUCGAAUAAGAACUGGCUCUUCGACCAAUGGAUAUAUCUUGGUUCAUGCCAAUGGAGGAUUAAACCAAAUGAGAACAGGGAUAUGUGAUAUGGUGGCUAUUGCAAAGAUUUUGAAUGCCACUCUGGUUCUUCCUUCCCUUGAUCAUGAAUCCUUUUGGACAGAUCCCAGUGAUUUUAAAGAUAUUUUUGACUGGAGACGCUUCAUUGACGUUUUAAGAGAAGACAUUGAGAUUGUUGAAUCUUUGCCACCAAAAUAUGCAGCUGUGACCCCCCUUCAGAAAGCACCUGUGUCUUGGUCAAAGGCUAGUUACUAUAGAAGAGAGAUUCUUUCUUUACUAAAGAAGCAUAAGGUGAUACAAUUUACCCACACAGAUUCAAGGCUUGCUAACAAUGGCCUGGCGUCCUCUAUUCAGAGGCUUCGCUGUCGAGCAAAUUAUGAGGCUCUACGGUACACAAAUGAGAUUGAGGAGCUUGGAAAGAAGUUGCUCGAUAGACUUAGAGAUAAUGGUGAACCAUACAUUGCUCUCCACUUAAGAUAUGAAAAAGACAUGCUAGCCUUUACUGGCUGCAGCAACAAUUUGACUGCUGAAGAGGCUGAGGAACUUCGUAUUAUGAGGUAUCAAGUGAAGCACUGGAAAGAGAAAGAGAUAGACGGCAAUGAGAAGCGACUGCAAGGGGGCUGCCCUAUGUCUCCUAGGGAGGCUGCAUUGUUUCUUAAAGCAAUGGGCUAUCCUUCCAUGACUAGAAUAUAUAUCGUCGCUGGGGAAAUUUAUGGCAACAACAGUAUGGAUGCGUUUCGGAAAGAGUAUCCCAAUGUUUUCUCUCACUCAACUCUUACAACAAAGGAAGAACUUGAGGCUUUCAGGCAUUAUCAAAACCGUCUUGCUGCCCUAGAUUAUCUCGUAGCCCUUGAAAGUGACGUCUUUGUUUAUACGUAUGAUGGUAAUAUGGCAAAGGCCGUACAAGGGCAUAGAAGGUUUGAAGGAUUUCGAAAGACCAUAAACCCCGACAGACACAAUGUUGUAAGAUUGGUUGAUUUGUUGGAUAAGGGUGCGAUCUCUUGGGAAGAGUUUGCUUCAGAGAUCAAGGCGUUACAUUCCAACAGAUUAGGAGCUCCUUACCUUAGACAAGCUGGAGAAUUACCAAGAUUAGAAGAAAACUUUUAUGCUAAUCCUUUUCCAGGUUGUAUCUGUGAUAGAUCUUUGAUGGAAGUGAACAAGCAGAAAAUUAACAAGAGACCGAGUUUGAAAGCUGCUACACAAAGAUAAAGGUUUAUAUUCAAGUUGGUAAUAGGUUGUAGAUUAGACAAAUGCCAGCAUAUGAUCUUACAAUAUAUUCAAGGGGCUGCCAAAAUUUUGGCCUUUUAUGCAUUUUAGUAUAUUAGGCAGCAAGCAGAAUCAAAGAGGAAUUUCACCAUAUGAAUUACUUUGAUUAACAAAUCUUAAGCCAGCAAGCAACUUUGGAAGCAGAGACGGUGGCUAGUAAAAGAGGCAGAUACAAUACAGACAGAAAGCUAAUAAAGCAGAUGCGGGACCAUAAUUCAGAGUUUGGAUUUGCUCUUGUUCCUUUAUAACGUACUCAAAAUACAUAAAGCAACAUUAUGCUAUUACUAAGAAUAGCAGUGACGACAACUGGAGGCAAGCCCGACAUUUACUUUAGUCUGAUAAUGCUUUCUUAUCGUUGAACCUGCAUCCGUAUCUUGAGCCCAACAGAUUCUGGUCCUAAACAAAACUUAUUCAUCAAGUAAGG